rnacentral:rRNA from 1 species
UACGUAGGGUGCAAGCGUUGUCCGGAAUUAUUGGGCGUAAAGAGCGUGUAGGCGGUUCAGUAAGUCUGCUGUGAAAGUCCAGGGCUCAACCCUGGGAUGCCGGUGGAUACUGCUGGGCUAGAGUACGGAAGAGGCGAGUGGAAUUCCCGGUGUAGCGGUGAAAUGCGUAGAUAUCCGGAGGAACACCGGUGGCGAAGGCGGCUUCCUGGACCGACACUGACGCUGAGGCGCGAAAGCUAGGGGAGCAAACGGG